GAAGUAUCCUUCCUCCACUUACUUCGUUUUCCGUGCUUUUCCUUCCUCGUCGCGGUGUCCCUGCUACAACAGCCGUCGCGAAACCUUCCUAAGCGAGGUCUCUUCAAUGCCAUCAGCCGGUAGCGGGUCCCCUUCGUCCCUCCUACAGCAAGCUUUGCGGACCCAGAUCUCCUCACACAGGUCCACCACCGGCUCCUACCGCUGCUCGUUAACCCAACCCGUAAAUAGUUGCACUACCGCAGCAACGAGUUCUGAACUUUCCUCUUUUAUAACCGUUUUUCAGGGAAUUUUAAACAUCAGACCCACAUCUUCCAAACCCCUAAAACUCGGCCUACCCGGUAACUACCAACGCCAACCGAACCUGUCCCUUACAUCUCUAUCAUUCACUUCUCCUCGUCCUCUUGCUUCUGCUUCUUCUUAUCACCAAAUAUCCAUCUUUUUUUUAAUUCUUACAACGAAUUACACGUACUCCUAGGUUUGUUACAUAUAAACCGUGCUAAUUUCAACUGAGUACAGCUCGGAGUCCUACCACCACCUCGCCAGUACCACCUGCCAAUAAUACGUUCUUAAACAAUUUGCGUAGUUUAUCUAUAAUUAAACAUUGUUUAAAAAUCAAACUAGUAGCGUGAUAUACAUACGUAACAGUUUAACGGAAAAUAAUUGUCAAAUGUUACAUUCACUUCACCUGAAUUUAAUAAUG
rnacentral:rRNA from 1 species